rnacentral:tRNA from 1 species
GCUGAGAUAGCUCAGUCGGUAGAGCAUGAGACCCUUAAUCUUAGGGUCAUGGGUUCGAGUCCCUUAUUUGGCA